rnacentral:rRNA from 1 species
CUACGGGUGGCUGCAGUGGGGAAUAUUGCACCAUGGGCGCAAGCCUGAUGCAGCCAUGCCGCGUGUGUAAAGAAGGCCUUCGGGUUGUAAAGCACUUUCAGCGGGGAGGAAGGCGGUGAGGUUAAUAACCUCAUCGAUUGACGUUACCCGCAGAAGAAGCACCGGCUAACUCCGUGCCAGCAGCCGCGGUAAUACGGAGGGUGCAAGCGUUAAUCGGAAUUACUGGGCGUAAAGCGCACGCAGGCGGUCUGUCAAGUCGGAUGUGAAAUCCCCGGGCUCAACCUGGGAACUGCAUUCGAAACUGGCAGGCUAGAGUCUUGUAGAGGGGGGUAGAAUUCCAGGUGUAGCGGUGAAAUGCGUAGAGAUCUGGAGGAAUACCGGUGGCGAAGGCGGCCCCCUGGACAAAGACUGACGCUCAGGUGCGAAAGCGUGGGGAGCAAACAGGAUUAGAUACCCGGGUAGUC